UACGUAGGGACCAAGCGUUGUUCGGAUUUACUGGGCGUAAAGGGCGCGUAGGCGGCAAUUCAAGUCAUCUGUGAAAUCUCCGGGCCUAACUCGGAACGGUCAGAUGAUACUGCUUUGCUAGAGUGCAGAAGGGGCAAUCGGAAUUCUUGGUGUAGCGGUGAAAUGCGUAGAUAUCAAGAGGAACACCUGAGGUGAAGACGGGUUGCUGGGCUGACACUGACGCUGAGGCGCGAAAGCCAGGGGAGCAAACGGG
rnacentral:rRNA from 1 species